CCCUUAGAUGUUCUGGGCCGCACGCGCGCUACACUGUUCGACGCAGCGAGUCUUAACCUUGACCGAAAGGUUUGGGUAAUCUUCAGCAAAGUCGAACGUGAUGGGGAUCGAUCAUUGCAAUUAUUGAUCGUGAGCGAGGAAUUCCUAGUAAGUGCAAGUCAUCAGCUUGCGCUGAUUACGUCCCUGCCCUUUGUACACACCGCCCGUCGCUACUACCGAUUGAAUGGUUUAGUGAGAUCUCUGGAUUGACGCUGGCUAGGGGGCGACCCUUGGCCAGACUGCUCGAGAAACUGCUCAAACUUGAUCAUUUAGAGGAAGUAAAAGUCGUAACA
rnacentral:rRNA from 1 species